AUAUAUAUAAAAAAAAAUAAUAAUAAAAAUGAAAGGAAUUUGCCUUUUCCGACAACAUAGUUGGGUUAUAUUCAUACAUGGAGGACUGCUAAUUUGUCUGUUAAUUUAGGUGCUGAUCGAUAUUGGCGACGGGAAGUGGAAGCGCGCAUUUGGGAGGUUAUCUUUCCUGGAAGUUUCUGUUUGGUUGAAAUUUGGAAACCUUGCGGGAGAAUCAAGGGUUUUUCUUGUUAGGGUUUCUUAGCCUUCAAUUCUUGCGACAAACAUCGAUGUCAUUCCAAUUCGGUAAACCCUAUCGAGGUUUUUCUUUUCGGAGGAUGUAACAGUUUCUUUAGGUUAAAUAAACUCCGUGAAGCCUGCGGCGGAGGAUUGAGCUUUUUGAUUCUGAAUCUUUGUUCAAUUUCGUGUUGCCCCAAAGUGGAUUCAUUCUGGGGAUUUGAAUUUGGUACUUUAUGGUUUGCGAUUGGGGGUCUUAAGAUUCGGGAUGAUGGACGAAGCUCAGGGCAGUUCCAAUUCGUUGCCUCCUUUCCUGACAAAGACUUACGAGAUGGUCGAUGAUCCUUCCACGGACUCAGUUGUAUCUUGGACUCCGGGUAAUAAGAGCUUUAUUGUGUGGCAACCACUGGAGUUUUCGACGGACCUGCUGCCGAAAUUCUUCAAGCAUAACAACUUCUCAAGCUUCAUUAGACAGCUUAAUACAUAUGGUUUUAAGAAAGUGGAUCCAGAGAGAUGGGAAUUUGCAAAUGAGGAUUUUGAAAAAGGUCGGCCAGACCUUUUGCGGAACAUUCACAGGCGAAAACCAGUUCAUAGCCAUUCUUUGCAGAAUGUUCAAGGACAAGGACUUUCAUCUCCAUUGUUGGAUCUUGAAAGGAAGAGAUUUGAGGAAGAGGUUGAGAGGCUUAAGCACACUAACGAAAAGCUUCUUCUUGAGUCGCAGAAACACGAACAAGAAAAUCGUGAAUUACAGUUGCAAAUGCAAUUGAUGAAGGAUCGGUUUCAAUGUAUUCAGCAACAGCAACAAAUGUUGCUUUCUAUUGUUGCGCAUGCUUUGCAGAAACCAGAAUUAACGAUUUAUUUUGUGCCAGAAUCACAAUCUCAUGAGAGAAAGAGGAGGUUGGCUACAGUCGCCUACUAUUACAAUGAAUCCAGUGCUGAGGAUGAUCCGGCAGAGCAUGCCCAUUCAGUGUCAAAGAAGCAUAUGGAUUACUCUUCUACCUCGGAUCUAAACAUGGAGCAGCUCGACCAGUUAGAAUCAUCCCUAACAUUUUGGGAGAGGACCAUUCACGAUGUUGAUCAAACCAUCAUUCUACCCAAUCUGAAGUCCAACCAAACGAAAAGUGACAUUCAAAGCCCACAUAUUUCUUCUGUACAACUAAAUAGGAAUUAUCAGUCCGAGUCACAUGUUAUAGACAUGAAUUCAGAGCCUGUUGGAAGUAUUGCUUCUGAUCCCAUUGUGUCAAGAAAAGAUGCUGAUGAAACCACUGCGAUUGUGCGUAAUGGGGCCAAUGAUGUGUUUUGGGAACAGUUUUUGACUGAGAAUCCUGGUUCAUCUGAUCCUCCAAAAGUUGCACCAGAAGGCAAGGAUUCUGAUAAUAGUAAAAAGAAUGCGAAUAAAUCUAUAAGCUUUGGAAAACUUUGGUGGACUGGGAACAAGAUAAAUAACCUCGCAGAACAGAUGGAACAUCUUACUCCAACUGAGAAAACGUGACAUUAUUUGAUCUUUUUUAAGUGAUGAUGCCCUUGUUGCCCUGCCCAUGUGUAAUAAAUUUAGGUUUACUUAUCCUUGACAUUCAGCAGGCGUGGUCUUCAAAUCUCCAUGUUAAAAUACUGUGACUGCCAAAUAACUGGGAGACUUGGCCAAGGAAACAUCAUGAUUGCUGAUAUUUACAGAAUCACGGUGGCCGGAAAAAUAAGGUGUGCAUUAGUAUAGUAAUUAAUGGCAUGAUACCUGACUGUAGGUAAUUUUGAGUGCGAGUGAAACUGAGUUAGUGCAACAGCUAUGCAUCUGCUAUUCCGAAUGAAUCCCUUCAUGUAGGAGCUGUUGUUCUAUCUUGAACUCAGAGGAGCUUUGAGUAGAAUCAAAAGUAGUUGAAUUGGUUAAUGAUGCAUGCUAUGGGAUCAUUUGUGAUAAUGGUGAUACUGGGUUCGAGUGCUUAACCUCUAGUGGAACCAUAGGUAAUGGAAGAGGGAAGCUACUUUUACCUAUUUAAAUUUGUUUGUUUUUUUGCAUCUGUUUUUUCUGUCAGGUCAUGACUCUUGUGUUAAUCUCGGCUUCUACUGAACUCAGUUUGCUCAUACAUAUUUUGAGAAAAGAAGAACAAAGUUUGCUGAUGUACUUGAAAAGAAAUGGUUCUGCUCUGUAUCA